rnacentral:rRNA from 1 species
GAGGACUUUGCUCCUGGAUUCAGCGGCGGACGGGUGAGUAAUGCCUAGGAAUCUGCCUGGUAGUGGGGGACAACGUUUCGAAAGGAACGCUAAUACCGCAUACGUCCUACGGGAGAAAGCAGGGGACCUUCGGGCCUUGCGCUAUCAGAUGAGCCUAGGUCGGAUUAGCUAGUUGGUGAGGUAAUGGCUCACCAAGGCGACGAUCCGUAACUGGUCUGAGAGGAUGAUCAGUCACACUGGAACUGAGACACGGUCCAGACUCCUACGGGAGGCAGCAGUGGGGAAUAUUGGACAAUGGGCGAAAGCCUGAUCCAGCCAUGCCGCGUGUGUGAAGAAGGUCUUCGGAUUGUAAAGCACUUUAAGUUGGGAGGAAGGGUUGUAGAUUAAUACUCUGCAAUUUUGACGUUACCGACAGAAUAAGCACCGGCUAACUCUGUGCCAGCAGCCGCGGUAAUACAGAGGGUGCAAGCGUUAAUCGGAAUUACUGGGCGUAAAGCGCGCGUAGGUGGUUUGUUAAGUUGGAUGUGAAAUCCCCGGGCUCAACCUGGGAACUGCAU